GAUGAACGCUAGCGGCAGGCCUAACACAUGCAAGUCGAGGGGUAGAAGCUUUCGGGCUUUGAGACCGGCGCACGGGUGCGUAACGCGUAUGCAAUCUGCCUUGUACUGAGGGAUAGCCCAGGGAAAUUUGGAUUAACACCUCAUAGUACUUUAGUGUGGCAUCACAUUAUUAUUAAAGGUUACGGUACAAGAUGAGCAUGCGUCCCAUUAGCUAGUUGGUAUGGUAACGGCAUACCAAGGCUACGAUGGGUAGGGGCCCUGAGAGGGAGAUCCCCCACACUGGUACUGAGACACGGACCAGACUCCUACGGGAGGCAGCAGUGAGGAAUAUUGGUCAAUGGGCGCAAGCCUGAACCAGCCAUGCCGCGUGCAGGAUGAAGCAUCUAUGGUGUGUAAACUGCUUUUGUACGGGAAGAAACACCACUACGUGUAGUGGCUUGACGGUACCGUAAGAAUAAGGAUCGGCUAACUCCGUGCCAGCAGCCGCAGUAAUAC
rnacentral:rRNA from 1 species